UACCAGACUCCUACGGGAGGCAGCAGUGGGGAAUAUUGCACAAUGGGCGCAAGCCUGGUGCAGCCAUGCCGCGUGUAUGAAGAAGGCCUUCGGGUUGUAAAGUACUUUCAGCGGGGAGGAAGGGAGUAAAGUUAAUACCUUUGCUCAUUGGCGUUACCCGCAGAAGAAGCACCGGCUAACUCCGUGCCAGCAGCCGCGGAAAUACGGAGGGUGCAAGCGUUAAUCGGAAUUACUGGGCGUAAAGCGCAGGCGGGCGGUUUGUUUAGUCGGAUGUGAAAUCCCCGGGCGCAACCUGGGAACUGCAUUCGAAACUGGCAGGCUGGAGGCUUGUAGAGGGGGGUAGAAUUCCAGGUGUAGCGGUGAAAUGCGUAGAGAUCUGGAGGAAUACCGGUGGCGAAGGCGGCCCCCUGGACAAAGACUGACGCUCAGGUGCGAAAGCGUGGGGAGCAAACAGGAUUAGAUACCCCCGUAUCA
rnacentral:rRNA from 1 species